AUGAACGCUGGCGGCGUGCCUAAUCCAUGCAAGUCGAGCGAACGGACGAGAAGCUUGCUUCUCUGAUGUUAGCGGCGGACGGGUGAGUAACACGUGGAUAACCUACCUAUAAGACUGGGAUAACUUCGGGAAACCGUAGCUAAUACCGGAUAAUAUUUUGAACCGCAUGGUUCAAAAGUGAAAGACGGUCUUGCUGUCACUUAUAGAUGGAUCCGCGCUGCAUUAGCUAGUUGGUAAGGUAACGGCUUACCAAGGCAACGAUGCAUAGCCGACCUGAGAGGGUGAUCGGCCACACUGGAACUGAGACACGGUCCAGACUCCUACGGGAGGCAGCAGUAGGGAAUCUUCCGCAAUGGGCGAAAGCCUGACGGAGCAACGCCGCGUGAGUGAUGAAGGUCUUCGGAUCGUAAAACUCUGUUAUUAGGGAAGAGCAUAUGUGUAAGUAACUGUGCACAUCUUGACGGUACCUAAUCAGAAAGCCACGGCUAACUACGUG
rnacentral:rRNA from 1 species